GGGAAUGCCACUUUGUCAAGAUCUCCUAACUCAUUAUUUUAAAGCAGACUAGACUUGACCUUAAUAAGGAUCAUUAAGGACAGGCACUCAUCAAAAAUGUAUCUUUUCCUUCUCUCUCUCUCUCUCUCUCUCUCAUUCUCUCUCAUUUCCAAACAGACCUGUCAAUCAGGAUGUGCUUCUGGGGAGACCAUUUCCAUCUCUGGAAAUGGGGUAGAUAGAUCAUCAAGAAUGUAAAAUGCCUCUUUUUAAAAAUACCAUGUGGACGACUAAGGACAAUGGCUUAUUUAAUAGGUUAGGCAGUCCGUUCUCCAUGAAUCACACUGUAUACAUAAUGGUGAUGAAAAUGUUCAGUUUGACAUUUCUUCCUGGCCAGGGAGGAAAUCAUGGGGGUGAAUCAUGGUUUUAGUGAUGACUGUCCUGGGGAAGCUAAAUUGGGAAGCCACAGGUUAAAAAAGGAGUGAGGAGUGAGUCUGUAGCAGGAAAGCAAUGGUCAGACACUCCAGGAAAGCAACAGACACCUCCUAACACCUGGGCAGACCUUGCAGAAAAAAGAGCUGUGGCCCUUCAUGGAGGGAGGGACCCUGAAAGAAAAGGAAACCAUUUAGUGGACUAGGAAAAGAAAUAGGACCUCUAGUUGGGGAAGAGAGAUAAAUGGCUGCCUGUAAAGAGAAGCACAACUGAACACACUCACUCAAGUGAAUAAAAUUCGUUUAAGAGCAAUUGGAUUAGAGAUGGAGAUUUACAUGGAUGACUUUAAAGAAGAGUUGCUGCAAGAGACAGGACAGAUGUUCAUCAGUCAUUUGCUGCAAAACCGUAAACAGUGUUGCUGACUUAGGAUACAAUGUAAGGUGGAAAAAUGAGCCCCUAAAUUGUAAUUAAACUGUGAUUGUAACUAUGCAAAAUAGGUGUGCUAUAGACAAAGACUGGUAAAACCACAGAAAUGAACAUACUAUUAUGUUAAUUGUUGAUGUUAUUUGUUUUCCAUUGCUGAAUUGUGUGGUGUGAAUAUGGGGGGUGGGGUAGGAGAGAAUAAAUAUAGAGUCUAGCUGUAAGACCACUUCGAGAAAAAUCAGAAAGCCUUGUCUGAGUUUCACAGGGCCUCGCCAUCUGUGAACUUAACCUCUCUGAGCCUCAGUGUCCAUUUAUAGAAAUUGAGAACAAUAACACCUGCCCUGUACUAAUGGGGUAGUGAAAGUACUUUGCAAAUCUGAAAUAUUGUAGGAGAUUGUAUGAGGAAUUAAGGUUGGAGUGGUAUAUAGGUUAAAAGUUUAAGAAGUCCAGAGCUCAGAACAUUGUCCUGACUGUUUUUUCUCUGUCACCAUGGAAGCUGCAGAACAUGUGUUAUUUUAGUUCAUAAU
rnacentral:lncRNA from 1 species